rnacentral:rRNA from 1 species
CUACGGGGGGCAGCAGUGGGGAAUAUUGCACAAUGGGCGCAAGCCUGAUGCAGCCAUGCCGCGUGUAUGAAGAAGGCCUUCGGGUUGUAAAGUACUUUCAGCGGGGAGGAAGGGAGUAAAGUUAAUACCUUUGCUCAUUGACGUUACCCGCAGAAGAAGCACCGGCUAACUCCGUGCCAGCAGCCGCGGUAAUACGGAGGGUGCAAGCGUUAAUCGGAAUUACUGGGCGUAAGGCGCACGCAGGCGGUUUGUUAAGUCAGAUGUGAAAUCCCCGGGCUCAACCUGGGAACUGCAUCUGAUACUGGCAAGCUUGAGUCUCGUAGAGGGGGGUAGAAUUCCAGGUGUAGCGGUGAUAUGCGUAGAGAUCUGGAGGAAUACCGGUGGCGAAGGCGGCCCCCUGGACGAAGACUGACGCUCAGGUGCGAAAGCGUGGGGAGCAAACAGGAUUAGAUACCCUCGUAGUC